rnacentral:rRNA from 1 species
CCAACAGGGAUUGCCUCAGUAACGGCGAGUGAAGCGGCAACAGCUCAAAUUUGAAAUCUGGCCCCCCGGGUCCGAGUUGUAAUUUGCAGAGGAUGCUUCGGGCGCGGCGUCGACCAAGUCCCCUGGAACGGGGCGCCAUAGAGGGUGAGAGCCCCGUCGGGUCGGCCGCCAAGCCUGUGUGAAGCUCCUUCGACGAGUCGAGUAGUUUGGGAAUGCUGCUCUAAACGGGAGGUAGACCCCUUCUAAAGCUAAAUAUUGGCCAGAGACCGAUAGCGCACAAGUAGAGUGAUCGAAAGAUGAAAAGCACUUUGAAAAGAGGGUUAAACAGUACGUGAAAUUGUUGAAAGGGAAGCGCUUGUGACCAGACGUGCGCCGGGUGUUCAGCGGGCGUUCUCGCCCGUGUACUCGCCCCGGCGCAGGCCAGCGUCGGUUCGGAUGGGGGGACAAAGGCCCCGGGAAUGUGGCUCCUCCGGGAGUGUUAUAGCCCGGGGCGUCAUGCCCCCGCCCGGACCGAGGUUCGCGCUCUGCAAGGACGCUGGCGUAAUGGUCCCCAGCGGCCCGUCUUGAAACACGGACCAAGGAGUCGAGGUUUUGCGCGAGUGUUUGGGUGUCAAACCCGCACGCGUAAUGAAAGUGAACGCAGGUGGGAGCUUCGGCGCACCACCGACCGAUCCUGAUGUUCUCGGAUGGAUUUGAGUAGGAGCGUAGGGCCUCGGACCCGAAAGAUGGUGAACUAUACGUGGAUAGGGUGAAGCCAGAGGAAACUCUGGUGGAGGCUCGCAGCGGUUCUGACGUGCAAAUCGAUCGUCAAAUCUGCGUAUGGGGGCGAAAGACUAAUCGAACCAU